UACGGGGGGGGUAAGCGUUGUUCGGAAUUACUGGGCGUAAAGGGCUCGUAGGCGGCCAACUAAGUCGGACGUGAAAUCCCUCGGCUUAACCGGGGAACUGCGUCUGAUACUGGAUGGCUAGAGGUUGGGAGAGGGAUGCGGAAUUCCAGGUGUAGCGGUGAAAUGCGUAGAUAUCUGGAGGAACACCGGUGGCGAAGGCGGCAUCCUGGACCAAUUCUGACGCUGAUGAGCGAAAGCCAGGGGAGCAAACGGG
rnacentral:rRNA from 1 species